CGAGCGGCUACGGCCGCGAAGUGGAUGAUGUCAAGCUUCCAAGAAGAGCCCUAUACCCGUUAAGGCAUGAUGGCCUGUACCCGAAACCGACACAGGUGGGGUGGUAGAGAAUACCGAGGGGCGCGAGGUAACUCUCUCUAAGGAACUCGGCAAAAUGGCCCCGUAACUUCGGGAGAAGGGGUGCCACCGCGAGGUGGUCGCAGUGAAGAGGCCCAGGCGACUGUUUACCAAAAACACAGGUCUCCGCUAAGUCGCAAGACGAUGUAUGGGGGCUGACGCCUGCCCAGUGCCGGAAGGUUAAGGAAGCUGGUCAGCGCAAGCGAAGCUGGCGACUGAAGCCCCGGUGAACGGCGGCCGUAACUAUAACGGUCCUAAGGUAGCGAAAUUCCUUGUCGGGUAAGUUCCGACCCGCACGAAAGGCGUAACGAUCUGGGCGCUGUCUCGGAGAGAGGCUCGGCGAAAUAGAAUUGUCUGUGAAGAUGCGGACUACGUGCACCCGGACAGAAAGACCCUAUGAAGCUUUACUGUAGCUUGGUAUUGUGCUCGGGCUCGGAAUGCGCAGGAUAGGUGGGAGGCUUUGAUCCAUUGCUUGCGGGUGAUGGUGAGCCACUGGUGAGAUACCACUCUUUCCGAGCUAGAGUUCUAACAGCAACCCGUUAUCCGGGUGCUGGACAGUAUCAGGUGGGCAGUUUGACUGGGGCGGUCGCCUCCUAAAAGGUAACGGAGGCGCGCAAAGGUCUGCUCAGGCUGGUUGGAAAUCAGCCGACGAGUGUAAAAGCAGAAGCAGGCUUGACUGUGAGACCUACAAGUCGAACAGGGAGGAAACUCGGCUUUAGUGAUCCGACGGUUCUGCGUGGAAGGGCCGUCGCUCAACGGAUAAAAGUUACUCUAGGAUAACAGGCUGAUCUCCCCCAAGAGUUCACAUCGACGGGGAGGUUUGGCACCUCGAUGUCGGCUCAUCGCAACCUGGGGCUGAAGUCGGUCCCAAGGGUUGGGCUGUUCGCCCAUUAAAGCGGUACGCGAGCUGGGUUCAGAACGUCGUGAGACAGUUCGGUCCAUAUCCGGUGCACGCGCAGGAAUAUUGAGAGGAUUUCUCCCUAGUACGAGAGGACCGGGAGGAACGCACCUCUGGUGUGCCAGUUAUCGUGCCAACGGUAAACGCUGGGUAGCCAUGUGCGGAGUGGAUAACCGCUGAAAGCAUCUAAGUGGGAAGCCCACCUCAAGAUGAGUAUUCCCAUGGCAUAAGCCAGUAAGGUCACGGGAAGAACACCCGUUGAUAGGCUCUACGUGGAAGCGCAGUAAUGUGUGAAGCGGAGGAGUACUAAUAGACCGAGGGCUUGAUA
rnacentral:rRNA from 1 species